AGGAAACGCUGAAACCGCUAUGAUAUGAUACUGAACUCUUAAUUUUCUAUUUGCUAGACAAUUCACUUACAUACAAUAGGACAGCUAAAAACAGGAAAUUUGCAGAGUGGUACAUACAUAAUGUAUUCAUAUACACUCCUUCAAAAAAUAUGUUUACAAGUUGCGAGUGUGAUAGCACUACAUACUUCUUACAAGUUACGAGAAGUCGAGUAGGUGCAGGAGUGAAGACGAGUGUAUGAAUCCACAAAUUUGUCAACAAACAAUGGUCGUCACUCCCAGAGGUUACUCCCACCUGCUCCAAACCAAAUAACCAAACACCAACCAGCAAACAGAUGUAGAAAGAGAGAGUAAAGCGAGGAGAUACAGAUACAGACCGAUAAAGACGUCGAGUUGACGGGAACGGGAACUGCGGGACCUUUUAAGGUUGAUGGAUGAAAAUGCUGUGAUACACAACAUGUGCGACGGUGACGAUAAGGACGUAGAAUUCAGCCUUGGCGAGCUGUUGGAGUUAGAAAAUAAGGCUAGCGCACCAACAGUCCUACCAAAUGAAGAAAUGACCGCACUUCAUUCUGCAGCGAGUAGUGGCAACGCACCUCUCGUGAAGAUUCUGUUACAGAAUGGAGAAGACCCAGCCCAGAUAUGCGGAAAGGGCUGGACUUCACUCCACCAUGCUGUCAAAAGUGGUGAUGAACAAACUGUCAGGUUGCUAUUAGAAUGGGGAGACAAGCGGCUUCUGAAAAUGACGACAAAAAAUUGUUCAUCCACGCCGCUUCAUAUUGCUGCUCAGUACGCAGACAGAAAAAUUUGUAAGCUGCUUGUAGACUGCGGUGUCGACGCACAAACCGCUAACAAACGAGACGAAAACGCUUUGCACGUUGCCUGCCGCGCAGGCAAUUUAGAUGUGGUUCAAUAUUUUACACAGAAAUUUUAUUUUUACAAGAGAAAUAGUCUAAAAAUGAAUCUCCUGCACUAUGCUGCACGCUCAAACCGUUUGGAUAUGAUUGAAUUCCUAUUACUUGAGAAGGGCAUUGGCAUCAGUGAUAAAAAUGUGUUUGGUCAUACACCGUUAUUGACUGCAGCUGCGUUUGGGUCUUUAAAGGUAUUCAAGUUUUUUGUUGAGAAUGGUGGUGACUUGAAGGAAUCGAGUACUAGUGGCUUUGAUGCCCUGUUCAUUGCGUCAAAGACUGGUAAAUUAGAUAUUGUACAGUACUUACUUAGUCUAGGCAUCUUUGAUGUUAACAGAAAGAAUAAAAGUGGCCUUUUUCCUCUG